rnacentral:rRNA from 1 species
AGUGAACGCUGGCGGCAGGCCUAACACAUGCAAGUCGAGCGGAUGAAGGGAGCUUGCUCCUGGAUUCAGCGGCGGACGGGUGAGUAAUGCCUAGGAAUCUGCCUGGUAGUGGGGGAUAACGUCCGGAAACGGGCGCUAAUACCGCAUACGUCCUGAGGGAGAAAGGGGGGGAUCUUCGGACCUCACGCCAUCAGAUGAGCCUAGGUCGGAUUAGCUAGUUGGUGGGGUAAAGGCCUACCAAGGCGACGAUCCGUAACUGGUCUGAGAGGAUGAUCAGUCACACUGGAACUGAGACACGGUCCAGACUCCUACGGGAGGCAGCAGUGGGGAAUAUUGGACAAUGGGCGCAAGCCUGAUCCAGCCAUGCCGCGUGUGUGAAGAAGGUCUUCGGAUUGUAAAGCACUUUUAGUUGGGAGGAAGGGCAGUAAGUUAAUACCUUGCUGUUUUGACGUUACCAACAGAAUAAGCACCGGCUAACUUCGUG